AUUACRAUGGCCUUGUAAGCCAUAAAUGAAAGCCAUUUUCUAAGGGUA
rnacentral:tRNA from 1 species